GACAGAGGGUGCAAACGUUGUUUGGAAUUACUGGGCGUAAAGCGUGUGUAGGCGGCCACGUAAGUCGGGUGUGAAAGCCCCGGGCUCAACCUGGGAAUUGCAUUCGAGACUGCGUAGCUAGGGUGCGGAAGAGGGAAGCGGAAUUUCCGGUGUAGCGGUGAAAUGCGUAGAUAUCGGAGGGAACACCAGUGGCGAAAGCGGCUUCCUGGUCCAGCACCGACGUUCAGGCACGAAAGCGUGGGGAGCAAACAGG
rnacentral:rRNA from 1 species